rnacentral:tRNA from 1 species
GCCCCGGUAGCUCAGUGGUAGAGCACCCGAUUCAAAACCGGUAGGCCGUGGGUUCGAAUCCCACCCGGGGCG